GACGCUACCUAUACCGGAAGUGUGUCUUGAAACCAACACUAAAUCAGUGUCUACUAGAAAUAGUCGAUAAAAUAAAGAUGUAUGAUGAAUUGAAAAACGACAUAGAGUGUGUUAGUAAGGUGCUGGGCCACCACGAGGAGUGAGCCCUCCUGCCCUGCGGAGGGGGGCGUUGUCACCCUGGGACAGACCACUCCCAUCAGGACAGAAAUAAGAUGAAGGCGAUCACUCAGAGUAACUUUGUACUGGUUUGCGAAAGCGAGCACCCGGAGGCCAUGAGGAGUCUGGCUGCAGAUGUGAGGAGCUGCAUCAUGUCGUGUGAUCUUCCUGCUCACAUCAGGGAACCUCAGAAAGCUGCGGGGUCUGAGCAAUAACAGAAUCGGCUUGCUGGGAAGUUAGAGAGGCUCAACUUUUCAGGCAUGAACUGAAAAAUCUUCCAUAUCAAAUUGAUAACCUGAGCUUUUAUGUAUUUAUGAACUUGGACAAAAAAACAAUUUUAAGCAAUAUCACUGUUGGGCCAGUGGAUACCCAUUCAUGAAAUAUCCACAUCCCAAUCAAAAGUAAUUACUGAUACAAUACAGAAAACAAAUGAUACCAGUACACAUUAUUAUUUUUUUUUUUAUUAAUGACUACAUCUACACUGCU